UUUAUUUUAUUGGCUUCCAUGUGAUGUUUUUUUUAAUGAUUCAAGCGGGUGGUUUUGUAAGUACCUUGUGGGAAAAUUAGAUAAAGGCAUUUUGAAUGCAGUUGAACUAUUUGAUGAAAUGUCCAAGAGAUGGAGUGAGGGCAAUAUGGGCACUCUAUUUGUUUGCUACUCCAGUUAUCACCCAAGACUGAGAACCUGCAGCUUGUAUUGCAAUGGCCUUCGAUUAAAUGCCAAAAGUCCAGUUGCAUCUCAUGUCCUAAUCAAAUUGUUUUCACCUUACUCGGAAUGUGACCAGGAAAUCUCUCAGCACAAGUAACAUGCAAUGCUCCUAUGCAAGCUGCAAAGUUUAACAUGAAUCUGGUCAAGUGAGUAAAGAUGACAAUAAAUAGUCAAAUGGAGCAAUUUGGAGCAGUUUUGGACUUGGAUUGGAUAGCAUGCAUAGAUAGCAUAUGGGCUGGACGUUUUGGUGUUUAAAAGGAUGAAAGGGCUUGAAGAAAUCAUCUUAUUUUGAAUACUUUAAGAGCCUAAAAUGGAUAGUUGGAAGCCCAACUCGCCCAAGACCAGACCAUAGCCCACAAGUGGCCCAAGAUCCGCCAGAAAAGGCCCUCGUAAAACAGCCAACUUGCGAGCUUUGCCCCGAAGUGCUCAGAAUGAAUUAGAAAAUGGGCCAUAUAUGGUUGGAAAGUCGUGGAAGUCUUCUUUCUCAUGGUCUUUACAAAUUGUGAUUCGGAGGUUUCUACAAGAAAUUAUGAUAGAAAAGAUGAGUUGUUCAGUUACAAAAAGUCUCAUUGAAUACUUAUUCAUGAUGUACUUUCCCUUCAAUUAAGGGACUUUGCUUUUCUUGUUAUUGUAAAUAGAUAUGGAGUGUUUUAAGGAGUGCCUUAAUGAGUGCUUUAAGGAGUGCUUUAAGGAGUGUUUCAA